UUCCCGAGGGAAGCACGGGGACUUGGGGGCUGAAGGGGUGGGACACCCAGGCCCCUGUCAUCAGGGAGUGGUGACCAGAAGGAACGCUGCCGCCGUGGAGGCGAUGAGAGAUCAGGAGCAUUCCGGAGGGCAGAAGGAAGAACGGAAAUGCAAGUCAGCAAAGGGGGCCAAAAGCCCUGUGCCACGGGAGGUGCUCCGAGCCGCCUGUCAGAGGGCUUUGUGAGAAGGCCAAGCGCCAAGCAGACUGAAGAUUUUAACCAAUGUCCUGUGUGGUGUGGGAAGGGGACCCUGACACUGCUGUGGAAGAGGCCAAUCUCUAAACCGUUGAGACCACGAAGUCUGACAAAUCUUCCUCUUAAAUGGAUGCAUAUGGGCCCAGCUGAGUCUGUCCACUCUUCUUUCACGUCCUUUCCAGCCCACAGUGCCCACCCCUCAAGCUCAGAAGGCCUGAUCUCCGGGGUCCUUCCCUGGCCCACCUUCCUGAACACAGAGGCCAUUUCAGGGGACGCCAGACGUGCCACAACAGAGCAGGUGAUUGUUAGCUGGUCAUGGGGGCUGCGUGGGUUUGAACCCAGCCCAUCACCAUCUAUGGAGAUCUUGCCUAAGUCACCUCUCUGUGCCCGUUUCCUCGCCUAUAAAAUGGGGAUGUAAUACCCACCUCACAGGGCUAUUGCAAGAUCAAAUGAGUCCAUUCACACAUUAUUGAGCAUAAAGCGUGUAGAACGGGGUCUGGCAGACUGGCGACAUGAGCUGCUAGCCACGGUCCCCCCACUCCUCUCUCCUGUCCUCAUUCCAACCUGUUAACUGUCACCUCCUCCAAGAAGCCCACCCUGACCACAUCUUAAGUAGCCUGCUCCUUCUCCACCUCCCCACCUCUUUCAUUUUUUUGUCCCUUCCAGACCACCCCAGUUCUCCCCUUGACCCUCAGGCUGUCCUCAGUCCUCCCAGACUGCCCCCCCAUCUUGCCCACAGCCCCUCUCCCCA